rfam:Papio anubis isolate 1X1155 chromosome 4, whole genome shotgun sequence.
CCAAAGGCUCUUUUCAGAGCCACCCAAUUAUUCCAACGAAAGUAG